GACGGAGGGUGCAAGCGUUGUUCGGAUUGACUGGGCGUAAAGGGCGUGUAGGCGGUUGGUCAAGUCCGAUGUGAAAGCCCGGGGCUCAGCUUCGGAAGUGCAUCGGAAACUAGCCAGCUGGAGCGCGAUAGAGGAGGGCGGAAUUCCUGGUGUAGCGGUGAAAUGCGUAGAUAUCUGCAGGAACACCGGUGGCGAAGGCGGCUACCUGGACAGAGUCUGACGCUGAGGCACGAAAGCUAGGGGAGCAAACAGG
rnacentral:rRNA from 1 species